rnacentral:misc_RNA from 1 species
AACGCACCUUGCGCUCCUUGGCAUUCCGAGGAGCAUGCCUGUUUGAGUGUCAUUAAUUUCUCAACCUCACCAGCUUUGUCAUGAAGAUGUGUGUAGGCUUGGAUGUGGGGGUUGCAGGUCCACUACCGUGGUCUGCUCCUCUGAAAUGUAUUAGUGGGUUAGGCCCCUAAUCUAUUGGUGUGAUAAUUAUCUACGCCGUGGAUUGGAAGGCUAAUAUAGACCUGCUUCUAACCGUCCUUCACUGGACAACUUUUGACAAUUUUGACCUCAAAUCAGGUAAGACUACCCGCUGAACUUAA